CAUGUUGCCGCUGCCUGCUGUGCAAUGCCGACUCGCGUGAACGAGAAGCGAUGCUUUGACUGCUGGC
rnacentral:snoRNA from 1 species